GACCAUUUGGAUUUUUCUUCACUCCGAUGAUCUCAAGAUUGAAAGUGCAUUUAAGUUCAGGAUGUGUUACAUGUGCUUUUGUAAAUCGAAGCCCUGAUGGGCGGAUAAACCGCUCGUACUUGGGAGGUUUUCUUGUAAAAGCUGGCCCAACAAAUGUAGCCUUUGUGACCAUCCUCUUCCAUUGCUUUGUUUUUCUUUUACCAGUUCUUAUCACUUUAAACAUUUCAUCCUCCGCAACAGGUCUGACCUUGGGCAGGGGCACUUCCCACUUUCCAGCUUUU
rnacentral:misc_RNA from 1 species